UACGUAGGGGCAAGCGUUGUCCGGAAUCAUUGGGCGUAAAGCGCGCGUAGGCGGCCCGGUAAGUCCGUUGUGAAAGUCAAAGGCUCAACCUUUGAACGCCGAUGGAUACUGCCGGGCUAGAGUCCGGAAGAGGCGAGUGGAAUUCCUGGUGUAGCGGUGGAAUGCGCAGAUAUCAGGAGGAACACCAAUAGCGAAGGCAGCUCGCUGGGACGGUACUGACGCUGAGGCGCGAAGCGUGGGAGCGAACAGG
rnacentral:rRNA from 1 species